GCCUAACACAUGCAAGUCGAACGGGAACGCGCUUGCGACCCUGGCGACGAGUGGCGGACGGGUGAGUAAUACGUAGGAAUCUGCCCAUUUGUGGGGGAUAACCCGGCGAAAGCCGGGCUAAUACCGCAUGCGCUCUCCGGAGGAGAGAGGGGCAUGGGAAACCUUCGCUCUAAUGGAUGCGCCUACGCGGAGUGAGCUUCGUGGGCUAUCAACGAGUUGGAGAGGUAACGACUCACAGCUGGUCUGACAGGAACAUCAGCUGAGAGGGCAAUCACACACGUUGCAAACUACUCAGGGAGCAGACUCCUACGAAUAUUAGCAGAGGGGAACCACGCUCAUCGAGCACUCGCGUGAGUCUGAAACACUCCUGCGGUUAGUAAGGCAUUUUCAGAGGAAAAGAAAAGAGGCGGAGUAAAACCUCCGUUCUUGACUUUACCUUUUAGAAGAAGCACCGUCUAUCUCCGUGCACCGAGCCGCGGUAAUACGGAGGCUGCAAGCAGUUAAUGGAAUUACUGUGCUUCAAGCGUGCGUGGGGGGUUCGUUAAGUCUGAUGUAAGAGCCCUGGGAUCAACCUGGGAAUGGCUUUAGAUACUGACGACCUAGAGAGCUGCAGAGGGGGGGGACAUCCGAGGAGUAGCAGAUACAUGCGGAGAUAUCGAGAGUAACAUCUGUGGAAGCCCACACCUGCAACAGCACUGACCUUGACGACAAAAGCGUGGAGAGCAACAGGAUGAGAUACACUGGGAUUCAACGCCUAAACGAUGCGAACUGGAUGUUCGGUGCUACUUCGCACUCAGUAUCGAAGCUAACGCGUUAAGCUCGCCGCCUGAGAAGUACGCUCGCAACUCUGACUCUCAAAGGAAUUGACGGGGGCGCGCACAAGCGGUAGAGUAUGUUGUUUUAUUGCGGCGCAGCGCGAAGAACCCUUAUCUGGUCGUAACAGGUCGAGAAUCCCUGAGAAGAUCGGGUAGUGCCUCAGGGAACUCGAGCACAGGUGCUGCAUUGCUGGUCGUCAGCUUGUGUCGUGAGGAUUUGGGUUUAGUCCCGCAACGAGCGCAACCCUUGUCCGUAGUUGGCAGUCACGUAAUGGUGGGAACUCUAAGGAGACCGCCGGCGACAAACCGGAGGAAGGUUGGGAAAGACGUCAAGUCCUCAUGGCCCUUACGUCCAGGGCUACACACGUGCUACAAUGGGAAGGACAGAGGGCAGCAAACCCGCGACGGCGAGCCAAUCGCAGAAACGUUCUCUCAGUCCAGAUUGGACUCUGCAACUCGACUCCAUGAAGUCGGAAUCGCUAGUAAUCGCUGAUCAGCAUUGCUGCGGUGAAUACGUUCCCGGGCCUUGUACACACCGCCCGUCACACCAUGGGAGUUGAUUGCACCAGAAGCAGGUAGCCUAACCUUCGGGAAGGAGCUCCCCACGGAGUGGUCGAUGACUGGGGUGAAGUCGUAACAAGGUAGCCGUAUCGGAAGGUGCGGCUGGAUCACCUCCUU
rnacentral:rRNA from 1 species